rnacentral:lncRNA from 1 species
AAGAUUUUCCCUCCAAAUCCUGCAGAAUUUUGUGAAAAUGACAGAAGUGCUUGUGCCCGGCUGAAAUGUGACACCCUGCCUGCUCAAUGCCAGUUGCAAGUGCCCGUCCGGAGGUCGUGAUUUCAUGGGGCGCGGAGCCAAUCCCACAGCCGGGCUACCUGCCAGCCCUGGACGGGCAGCCAGUCCGUCACAGCGCUGACACAUAGAGACAAACAACCAUUCGCGCUCACAUUCACACACCUCGGGGGCCAUUCAGAGCAGCCGAUUAACCCAACCUGCAUGUCCUCGGUCUGUGGGAGGAAGGCGGAGUCCCCGACAGGACAUUAAAACUCCACACGGAAAGGCCCCCGGCCGGCUGGCAGGUUCACGCCCAGAACCUUCUCGCUGUGAGGCAGCGGCGCUUACAUC